rnacentral:rRNA from 1 species
CAGCACCUCAAGUGGUCAGGAUGUUUAUUGGGCCUAAAGCAUCCGUAGCCGGCGCUGUAAGUUUUCGGUUAAAUCUGUACGCUCAACGUACAGGCUGCCGGGAAUACUGCAGCGCUAGGGAGUGGGAGAGGUAGACGGUACUCGGUAGGAAGGGGUAAAAUCCUUUGAUCUAUUGAUGACCACCUGUGGCGAAGGCGGUCUACCAGAACACGUCCGACGGUGAGGGAUGAAAGCUGGGGGAGCAAACCGGAUUAGAGACCCGAGUAGUCC